rnacentral:lncRNA from 10 species
UCUAGGCCGCCAUUCUACACACAGAAAACUCGGUGCAAGGUUUACAUAUACCUUUUUAAAGUAACAUUUAAAAUUACUUCCUUUAAUAUAAAAGAAACACACAAGACACAAAGAAAGCCCAAUAAAGCUGUGAGUCCCAGUUUGGUAGCUGAGGAGGAGUCUAAGAAAACAAGCCAUUCCUCAGUAUCCCUGGGAAAGAAGGGGUGAGAGGACACAGAUAUCACCAGGCCCUGGGUGACUGCAUUGCUGGGGCCAUGCAGGGCCUAGCUCUCCACCAAGGGAAAGUGCUGAUUUUCCUUGUCAUGGUCCUGGCCUUGCUCCCAUGCUCGUCCUCCAGUUUUCAGAAGUCGUCCAGUUCCAAGAAUGGCUCCUUCCUUUAGUUCACUAACAUUUUCACUUAGGGGUGAAGGCCGCUUACCCUGAAAACGGCAGUGUAUGAGUUGGGGGGAGUUGCUGUUCAGAAGAGGGAAGAUCUGGGUAAAAGGGUCUCCCACCCUCUACGUUGGAUAUCCUAGUAACAGCUUGCACUUUCUCUUCCUUUACCUGUCGUAGUGUCAGGGUGCCAGGGGAGUUGUCAUCCUGCAGGAUGGUGAGGGGGGAUCUCCCUAGUACCUUGCUGCUGUUUGGUUUCCAUCUAUUGCGCAUAGAACCUGGGGUGGGUAAGGCGUUAAAGCAAGGACCCAAAACUAGGACUUACAGUUUAUUCCUCCCACACUCACCCAUGGACCUUAUCCCAAAACAUUAUCCUAGUUUAUCUUCCCUGCAUCUUGCCUUAGAUUCUGUACCUGAAGAUCUGGGAGUCUCAGGGUCCCUUGAGGGCUUGUCGGAGCUCUGGCUGGCCACAGGGGUUUCUGUGGGCUGUCUUGCUUCCUCCUUGGAAAACACCUGUUUGGAGGGGAACUCAGUCUGGUUCCAAGGUGGCAUCUGUUCCUCAACAGAUAACUGGGUACCCAGAGGCAAGUCCAAUUCAGAAGAUAAAGGUGCCUCUGGGGGCAGAACAGGCUCUGGGGGAAGAUUUGAUUUAGAGUCUUCAGUUUCAAAUACUUCACUCAGCUGUUUCACCAGUGGGCUUGGGGGGUCUAGAGGAAGAAAGUGAAGUGAACAGUGACCUUCUGAUACACAACAUUCAGCAAGGAGCAAAACAUACAGAAACCCAGGACUCAUGCCCAGGAGGGUGAGCAAGUGGGAAGAGAGAAAUCAAGGAAAUCAAGGUGAAAGGGAGCAAUUUUUUUUUUUUUUGAGAUGGGGCUUGCUCUGUCCCCCAGGCUGGAGUGCAGUGGCGUGAUCACAGUUCACUGCAGCCUUGACCUUGUGGGCUCAAGCAAUCCUCCCACUUCAGCCUCCUGAGUAGCUGGGAUCACAGGCCCAUGCCACCGUGCUUUUGUGUGUGUGUGUGUGUGUUAUGUGUGUGUAU